rnacentral:rRNA from 1 species
AUUUGGAUCGUGUCCGGGUGACCGGGUCACGAAUUGUAAUUUGAUGAGGUGAGCUUGGUGGGCGCCCGGGUCAAAAUCCUUUGGAAAAGGGUAUCAUAGAGGGUGACAAUCCCGUCUGUGAUCCGGACAGCGGUCCAUCGUGUAAGCCGCCUUCAAAGAGUCGGGUUGUUUGGGAAUGCAGCCCUAAGCUGGUGGUAAAUUCCAUCUAAAGCUAAAUAUUCGUGAGAGACCGAUAGCGAACAAGUACCGUGAGGGAAAGUUGAAAAGCACUCUGGAGAGAGAGUCAAACAGCACGUGAAAUUGUUAACAGGGAAACGUUGGGCCCCAGUACGCGCCUCGCGUGAAAUCAACCAUCCCUUCCCCGAGGGUAUCCGGUCCGGAUGUGGUGAGUCCCUAAUAGGGGCCAUCAGCCGGUCGGUGCCCGAGGGGGGUGGUGCACUUUCGCGUGGGCGGGUCAACGUCAGUUAGGGCCGCCGGAGAAUCCUGGGGGGAAUGUUGGCAAAGGAAACGGACCCACUUAUAGCCCCCCUUGAAUGCGGUGACCUUGACUGAGGAGUUUUCGCGACCUUGGGACCGCCUUACCGGUACCCUCCUCCUGCCCCGGGGUGAGACAGCUUGCUGAUUCAUCCUGGUUGUGCGUGGGGGAUGAGGUGCUGGGGGCGCCCGGGGACACGGACGUUGGCGAAAUGGAUCUCAACGACCCGUCUUGAAACACGGACCAAGGAGUCUAACAUGUGUGCGAGUAUUUGGGUGCAAAACCCGGAUGCGUAAUGAAAGUGACCGCAGGGGAGAAGGGUCGGGGCGUGCAGCAAUGUACACCCGGCCCCGCAUCCUCGACCGAUCCGAUUGCCCUCCGUGGCGACGGGUUUGAGUUUGAGCAUAUCUGUUAGGACCCGAAAGAUGGUGAACUAUGCCUGAGUAGGAUGAAGCCAGAGGAAACUCUGGUGGAGGUCCGUAGCGAUUCUGACGUGCAAAUCGAUCGUCGAACUUGGGUAUAGGGGCGAAAGACUAAUCGAACCAUCUAGUAGCUGGUUCCCGCCGAAGUUUCCCUCAGGAUAGCAGAAACGCGUAAGCAGUAUUAUGAGGUAAAGCGAAUGAUUAGAGGCCUUGGGGGCGGAAUGUCCUUAACCUAUUCUCAAACUUUAAAUAUGUAAGAAGUCCCUGCCACUUAAUUGGGCUUGGACCUGUUGUAUGAGCGUUUCUAGUGGGCCAUUUUUGGUAAGCAGAACUGGCGAUGUGGGAUGAACCAGACGGGAGGUUAAGGUGCCGGAAUGUACGCUCAUGUAGACACCACAAAAGGUGUUGGUUCAUCUAGACAGCAGGACGGUGGCCAUGGAAGUCGGAAUCCGCUAAGGAGUGUGUAACAACUCACCUGCCGAAUGAACUAGCCCUGAAAAUGGAUGGCGCUCAAGCGUACUACCCAAACCUCCCCGCCACGGG